rnacentral:rRNA from 1 species
GAUGAACGCUGGCGGCGUGCCUAAUACAUGCAAGUCGAGCGAACGGACGAGAAGCUUGCUUCUCUGAUGUUAGCGGCGGACGGGUGAGUAACACGUGGAUAACCUACCUAUAAGACUGGGAUAACUUCGGGAAACCGUAGCUAAUACCGGAUAAUAUUUUGAACCGCAUGGUUCAAAAGUGAAAGACGGUCUUGCUGUCGCUAAUAGAUGGAUCCGCGCUGCAUUAGCUAGUUGGUAAGGUAACGGCUUACCAAGGCAACGAUGCAUAGCCGACCUGAGAGGGUGAUCGGCCACACUGGAACUGAGACACGGUCCAGACUCCUACGGGAGGCAGCAGUAGGGAAUCUUCCGCAAUGGGCGAAAGCCUGACGGAGCAACGCCGCGUGAGUGAUGAAGGUCUUCGGAUCGUAAAACUCUGUUAUUAGGGAAGAACAUAUGUGUAAGUAACUGUGCACAUCUUGACGGUACCUAAUCAGAAAGCCACGGCUAACUACGUG